rnacentral:rRNA from 1 species
AAGCAUGCAAGUCGAACGGCAGCAGGGGGUAACUCCUGCGAGAGUGGCGAACGGGUGAGUAACACGUAGGUGAUCUACCCUUGGAUUGGGGAUAGCCUGUGGAAACACAGGGUAAUACCGGAUACGACCUUCUUACUUUGGUAGGUAGGGGAAAGGCCCUAAGGGGCCGUCCGAGGAUGAGCCUGCGGUCCAUUAGCUAGUUGGCGGGGUAAGAGCCCACCAAGGCGACGAUGGAUAGCCGGCCUGAGAGGGUGACCGGCCACACUGGAACUGAGACACGGUCCAGACUCCUACGGGAGGCAGCAGCUAAGAAUCUUCCGCAAUGGGCGAAAGCCUGACGGAGCGACGCCGCGUGGACGAUGAAGGCCGAAAGGUUGUAAAGUCCUUUUCGUGGAGAAGAAUAAGCCUGCGAGGGAAUGCGCGGGUGAUGACAUUACCCACGGAAUAAGCCCCGGCUAACUACGUGCCAGCAGCCGCGGUAACACGUAGGGGGCGAGCGUUGUUCGGAUUUAUUGGGCGUAAAGGGCGUGUAGGCGGUUCUGCAAGCCUGGUGUGAAAUACGCGAGCUCAACUCGCGUUCCGCGCCGGGGACUGUGGGACUAGAGUUUCGGAAGGGAAGCUGGAAUUCCAGGUGUAGGGGUGAAAUCUGUAGAUAUCUGGAAGAACACCGGUGGCGAAGGCGAGCUUCUGGCCAGAGACUGACGCUGAGGCGCGAAAGCGUGGGGAGCAAACAGGAUUAGAUACCCUGGUAGUCCACGCUGUAAACGAUGUGCACUAGGUGUUGGGGCGUUCGCUUCAGUGCCGUAGCAAACGCGUUAAGUGCACCGCCUGGGGAGUAUGCUCGCAAGGGUGAAACUCAAAGGAAUUGACGGGGGCCCGCACAAGCGGUGGAGCAUGUGGUUUAAUUCGAUUGUACGCGAGGAACCUUACCAGGGCUUGACAUAUACCGGUAGUCGUGAGAGAUCACGAUGCCCCGCAAGGGGCCAGUAUACAGGUGCUGCAUGGCUGUCGUCAGCUCGUGCUGUGAAGUGUUGGGUUAAGUCCCGCAACGAGCGCAACCCUUGCUGUCUGUUGCCACCAGGUAAAGCUGGGAACUCAGACGGUACUGCCGGUGACAAACCGGAGGAAGGUGGGGACGACGUCGAGUCAUCAUGGCCCUUAUGUCCUGGGCUACACACGUGCUACAAUGGUCGGUACAGAGCGAUGCGAGACCGCGAGGUGGAGCAAAUCGCAGAAAGCCGAUCUCAGUACGGAUUGAAGUCUGAAACCUGACUUCAUGAAGGUGGAAUCGCUAGUAAUCGCGCAUCAGCACGGCGCGGUGAAUACGUUCCCGGGCCUUGUACACACCGCCCGUCACACCACCCGAGUUGGGGGUACCCGAAGUCGCUCGUCUAACCUGCAAGGGGGGACGGUGCCGAAGGUAUGCCUAGUGAGGGGGGUGAAGUCGAAACAAGGUA